UUACGACUUGAAGUAUCCAGUCGCUUAGGAAGACAAAGCCGACAAAGCAAUAUCACUAUGCCGUUACUAACGUCGAAGGACAAAGCCGGAGCAGCACCAUGGACGGACGGAGAUGAAUGAUGAUGACAAAGAUUACGGCCACACGGGAGAUUCUGUUUUGGUGGAUGUGAAUGUUGUACCGGAAGAUCCGGUUUGGGCUGGAUAGAAUCAACUCGAAGAACGCGGUCGAUUUUGUCUUUCAGUAAGUGAGAAAACGGGUUUUUUAAAAGGUGGUGGUUUUAAGGUGGCGGGUAUUCAUAA